ensembl:lncRNA
CCUUUGUGACCAUAAAUACAAAAAUGAGUAGACAGGACAAAACAAUAGUGACCUGCUGGUUCUGUGAAACAGUAAAAAUGAGUGAAUGUUGCCCUGAAACAGAGCAGCCUCCUCAUCCGUUUUCAUGCACUGUAACUUUUAAAGUCAGCUUCUAAAACAUUGUUAGUUUGCUCAUAAGAACUUUUACUGUUUUCCCUUGGACCACAAUGAUGGACAGGUCAGAGUCCCCCAGCUGUGUGUCUGUAGUGAGCAACUGGUCAGAGGAUCGACCUAUUGACUUUAAAGGACCUGAUAUCCAGGAUAUUAAAAGGUCAGAGUCCCCCAGCUGUAUGUCUGCAGUGAGCAACUGGUCAGAGGAUCGACCUAUUGACUUUAAAGGAACUGAUAUCCAGGAUGUUAAAAGGUAAACAAUCUGCAGUGUGAACUGCUUUACGUUGUAGCAGCUUUGCUCAUUUCAAUUGAGAACUAAGCACAGACUCUUAAAACAGGUGUGUUUAUAUACGCAUUAGCUGGCCGUGCACUGGCUAUGUGGGACAUUUGGUAAAAUUUGGUUAUUUUGAUUAUUUUGGUUAUUAAUUUUACCAGAAUACCAGUAACUAAGGUUUAGAGUCACUCAAAGCCAAAGGAGUUUAGUCCAACGUCUAAGUUCAGUUAAAAGUCCCAAAUGUGUUUUAAACUCAGUUUGAACCAGCUCAGUAGAUGAUCCCGUUAUGGUGGACCUCCAUCAGCUCCAUGAUUAUCCAUGAUAAUAAUGACCUUGUUGACACAACACAAUAUUCUUGGUCAGGCACCAGUGCUUGAUGAUAGUAUCCUCACCUGGAACAUUAACAGCCUGAUAAAGCUCCUUUUGCAGCACGAUGGAGGAUGAGUUGAACUGUAAAGAGAAGGUGAAGUAGAACGUGGUCCAGUGUCCAAACCAAAAUAAUCUUAACUCUGUUGUUCCACCACUAAAUUUGAACAUCUACAGCUGAUAAAUGAGUGUUUUGGUGGAGGUUUAAUGGGUUUUAAGUCAUUUUUCUGUCAUUUAUGAGUCAAAAUCAGCUAACUGUAUAUUUUUGCUUCAACAUCCAAGAUGCAACACUGUAGACACACAUACAAUUGUCAAUAUAUAGUGCAUAGAUUUUUGUAUAUAGCAAUUGAUGCUCUUUAUAGUCAUAUUUACAGCUUGCUGAGUGCUGAGUGGGAGCUGGAAUUAUGGAAUAUAAUAGGAUAUUAACUAUAAAAAAUUCAGAGUAGGGCUAUGAAUAUUUCACCAUGUUUUAAUGCUUUGAAAGGUUCUGCUUACAGAAAUGAUGUGAGGUAUGCAUGUCAUUUUUAUCCAGCCCAAAUUUCUAAAAGCUUAACAACAAUUCUGGGCAUAAUCAACGUCUCAGGCGGUCGACUAUAUUAAAUUAUUAUUAAAUUAUAUUAAAUUAAAUUAAAUAAUUUUUCACAUUAAAAAUACAGAAAACAUUUUAAUGUUUCUCAUAAGAAGUCUUAAUCUUCUCUCCUGGACCACAAUGAUGGACAGGUCAGAGUCCCCCAGCUGUGUGUCUGUAGUGAGCAACUGGUCAGAGGAUCGACCUAUUGACUUUAAAGGACCUGAUAUCCAGGAUAUUAAAAGGUAAACAAUCUGCUGUGUGAACUGCUUUGCACUAAAGCAGCUUUAAUUAUUUACAUUUGUUGGGAAAUAAAACCACAAAGUUUUCACUGCUUAAAGGUGGAGUCAGUGAUUCUGGAGAACUAUUGCUGAUAUUUGAACACAACAGCAAAAGAAACACACUCCUCCCUUCAGCGCUCCUUUAGAGGCCCCACCCCCCGAACGGCGCUGGGCAGACAAACUUUUCUUUUCAGACCUUUGUGACCAUAAAUACAAAAAUGAGUAGACAGGACAAAACAAUAGUGACCUGCUGGUUCUGUGAAACAGUAAAAAUGAGUGAAUGUUGCCCUGAAACAGAGCAGCCUCCUCAUCCGUUUUCAUGCACUGUAACUUUUAAAGUCAGCUUCUUCUUUACCGGCUUCUUGAUUACAUUUUCCUGUUCCCCCUUAAAUGGUGUAGCAGUUACAUUCUGG